AGAGCGAACGCUGGCGGCAGGCCUAAAACAUGCAAGUCGAACGAACCCUUCGGGGUUAGUGGCGGACGGGUGAGUAACACGUGGGAACGUGCCCUUUGGUUCGGAACAACUCAGGGAAACUUGAGCUAAUACCGGAUGUGCCCUUCGGGGGAAAGAUUAUCGCCAUUGGAGCGGCCCGCGUCUGAUUAGCUAGUUGGUGAGGUAAAGGCUCACCAAGGCGACGAUCAGUAGCUGGUCUGAGAGGAUGAUCAGCCACACUGGGACUGAGACACGGCCCAGACUCCUACGGGAGGCAGCAGUUAGGAAUCUUGCGCAAUGGGCGAAAGCCUGACGCAGCCAUGCCGCGUGAAUGAUGAAGGUCUUAGGAUUGUAAAAUUCUUUCAGCAGGGAAGAUAAUGACGGUACCUGCAGAAGAAGCUCCGGCUAACUUCGUGCCAGCAGCCGC
rnacentral:rRNA from 1 species